rnacentral:rRNA from 1 species
UUUUGAAACUUGUCCACUCCUUACGGGGGAGACAGUCAUGAGACGUGAGUAUAAGACCUGAGUGUAAAGACCUUAGGGUGAAGCAAUUGGAGGGCAAGCUUUGGUGCCAGCAGCCGCGGUAACUCCAACUCCAAGAGUGUCUAUGGUGGAUGCUGCAGUUAAAGGGUCCGUAGUCGUGAAUGCAAUUAAAUGUCGUUGUUCAAUAGCGAUGAGUUUGCUAAUGUUUGCGGAACGGAUAGGGAGUGUAGUAUAGACUGGCGAAGAAUGAAAUCUCAAGACCCAGUUUGGACUAACGGAGGCGAAGGCGACACUCUUAGACGUAUCUUAGGAUCAAGGACGAAGGCAGGAGUAUCGAAAGUGAUUAGACACCGCUGUAGUUCCUGCAGUAAACUAUGCCGACAGCCUGUGUGUGAGAAUACGUGGGCGGGAGAAAUCUUAGUGUUCGGGCUCUGGGGAUAGUACGCUCGCAAGGGUGAAACUUAAAGCGAAAUUGACGGAAGGACACUACCAGGAGUGGAUUGUGCUGCUUAAUUUAACUCAACGCGGGAAAACUUACCAGGGUCAAGUCAUUCGUUGAUCGAAUACGUGAGAAUGGCAG